UAGGGAAUCUUCCGCAAUGGACGCAAGUCUGACGGAGCAACGCCGCGUGAGUGAAGAAGGAUUUCGGUUCGUAAAACUCUGUUGUUAGAGAAGAACAGCGCAUAGAGUAACUGUUAUGCGUGUGACGGUAGCUAACCAGAAAGCCACGGCUAGCUACGUGCCAGCAGUCGCGGUAAUACGUAGGUGGCAAGCGUUGUCCGGAUUUAUUGGGCGUAAAGCGAGCGCAGGCGGUCAAUUAAGUCUGAUGUGAAAGCCCCCGGCUCAACCGGGGAGGGUCAUUGGAAACUGGUUGACUUGAGUGCAGAAGAGGAGAGUGUAAUUCCAUGUGUAGCGGUGAAAUGCGUAGAUAUAUGGAGGAACACCAGUGGCGAAGGCGACUCUCUGGUCUGUAACUGACGCUGAGGCUCGAAAGCGUGGGUAGCAAACAGG
rnacentral:rRNA from 1 species